rnacentral:lncRNA from 1 species
GCGCGGGGGACGGACCGGGGCGCGCGCGGUCCGGGGGGACGCUGGAGGGAGGGCGCGGGAUGGAGGGAUCGCGGGGGUCCCAGGACGGAGAGGUCGCGCCGGGCGCGCUCGGAACACGCAGGAAAUUCUCCCCGAGGCGUGGGCUCCGCGGGGCUUCCCCGCCGGUUCGCUGAGUCCCAGCUCCGCUCGGCCGGGACCUCCGUGGCAGGCUCGGGGAGCCCGCGGGGGGCAGAGGCGCCGACCUCCGCCUGGGACCGAGAGGAACCCGCGCCCUGCCCUGCCCCGCCCGGCGCGCGUGGGCCUGAGUCAGGCGCCUCAGCACGGGGACCCCCGGGCCGGCCUUCACGCCGCAGAGCCGCUGCAGGUGAGACUGUGGCCCACAGACACUGCUUGCAGCAGGCAGAGGAUGUGGGAGCCUCGUGGGAACCCCCCCGACUUGUCCACUGAAGUAACAGCAGCAAUGACCUUCCCUCGGGAAUUCCACCUCUGCGUUUUUCCCUCCAGGUACGUUCACGGAAGUGGCACACUGCAUGCGUCCAGUGAGUCAAUGUGGCACCGCCUACAUGCGUGUCACUGGCCGGUGGGACAUUCAAAUCAUUCAUACGGGGUCUAAACGAGACAGAGCGUGGCCGAGACAGGAAAGACAGGAAGCGCUGUGCUGCUUGGAAAUGGUCCACCAGGUGCAGCAGUAGCUGCAAGAAAGGAACAGGAAGAACGGUGUGUUCAAAGCUCUACCAUUUGUGUAGAAAAGGGAGAAAAACACGUUUCCUUUGUGUGUGUCAAAGGCAUCGAAUGUCUGGAAUGAUCCAGCACCGGCUACACUGGUUGACCUUGGAGGAGGAGAGGCGGGGUGGGGAUGGGGAUGGCCGCAGGGACCAUACCUGUUUGUACCUUUUGAACGCCGCAGCGGGUGGUGAGGGUUUACGGAGCGGGGGAGGGGAAGCUGACUCCACGAGCCCAGACCCCUGAAGGCCAGAGCAGCGGAGGUGGAGGGUGUUGGCCGGGGAGGAAGGAAGCCCCGGCUGAGCCUUAAAGAGACCCUUUGUUUCCCGGGAAUCCCAGCUGGGCCGUCCUCAGCCCCGACUGAGGGGAAAGGGGGGCUCCCAGGGGUUCUCAUUUUAAAGGCACGGAGGUCAGAUUGCAGAUUUUGCUGAGCCGUGAUUUGAGUGUGCUGUGCCGGACUGCACCCAGCAACCAAGGUCAGCACCAGCACCCAGGACUGCUCCAGACCCAGUCCCUGCUCCAGGCUGGGCCCAAGCCCCCCUCCUCCCACUGCCCUCCCCUGAGUGAGUCACCUUAGUCUGAGGUUCCUGUGCCCCAAGUCACCCACCGGAGAGGGAGAGAAGCGGCAGAGCCCCCACUUCCAGUGCUCCAGCUGAGGGCUGGUGAACUUGAAGGUGGGUAAGAAUCCCCAGACGGAAGUCCAGAGACGUCUGCUAAGUCACAGAGUGUUGGCAAUGGAGAGACUCUUCUGUAACAGGAAACACAGCUCAGUCAGGCUACUGGUCAGGGAAACAAAACAAGCCACUUUGUCAAAAAACAGCCACGCAGCCCUUGCCACAACAGAUGCUCACACUUUGCUGGCAGGCAUGUGAACCCCCUCAACCUUCUGAAAAU